CUACUACUCUCUCCGAUCCAUAUCACUUGUCUCAAAUUUGUCCAAAUAUGGAUGUAUCUAUGUUUAAAAAGCGUCUAGAUACAUGUAAUAUUUACAUAUUUCGACAAGUUAUAUGGAUCGGGGGGAGUACAAC
rfam:Brachypodium distachyon strain Bd21 chromosome 2, whole genome shotgun sequence.